AGAGUUUGAUCCUGGCUCAGGACGAACGCUGGCGGCGUGCUUAACACAUGCAAGUCGAGCGAUGAAACUACUUCGGUAGUGAAUUAGCGGCGAACGGGUGAGGAACACGUGAGGAAUCUGCCUUCUACACUGGGAUAACUCCGGGAAACCGGGGCUAAUACCGGAUAUGAAACUUGGUGGCAUCACCGAGUUUGGAAAGUUUUUCGGUAGAAGAUGACCUCGCGGCCUAUCAGCUUGUUGGUGAGGUAAUGGCUCACCAAGGCGACGACGGGUAGCCGGCCUGAGAGGGCGACCGGCCACACUGGGACUGAGACACGGCCCAGACUCCUACGGGAGGCAGCAGUGGGGAAUAUUGGGCAAUGGAGGAAACUCUGACCCAGCGACGCCGCGUGCGGGAUGAAGGCCUUCGGGUUGUAAACCGCUUUCAGUAGGGAAGAAGCGAAAGUGACGGUACCUACAGAAGAAGCACCGGCUAACUAUGUGCCAGCAGCCGCGGUAAUACAUAGGGUGCAAGCGUUGUCCGGAAUUAUUGGGCGUAAAGAGCUCGUAGGUGGUUCGUUACGUCGGAUGUGAAAAUCUGGGGCUCAACCCCAGACCUGCAUCCGAUACGGUCGAGCUAGAGUUUGGUAGGGGAGACUGGAAUUCCUGGUGUAGCGGUGGAAUGCGCAGAUAUCAGGAGGAACACCAAUGGCGAAGGCAGGUCUCUGGGCCAAUACUGACACUGAGGAGCGAAAGCGUGGGGAGCGAACAGGAUUAGAUACCCUGGUAGUCCACGCCGUAAACGGUGGGCGCUAGUUGUGGGAACCUUCCACGGUUUCUGCGACGCAGCUAACGCAUUAAGCGCCCCGCCUGGGGAGUACGAUCGCAAGAUUAAAACUCAAAGGAAUUGACG
rnacentral:rRNA from 1 species